UACGUAGGGUGCGAGCGUUAAUCGGAAUUACUGGGCGUAAAGCGCACGCAGGUGGCUGAGUCAGUCGAUUGUGAAAGCCCUGGGCUUAACCUGGGAAUUGCAGUCGAUACUACUCAGCUAGAGUAUGGGAGAGGGUAGUGGAAUUCCCGGUGUAGCGGUGAAAUGCGUAGAUAUCGGGAGGAACAUCAGUGGCGAAGGCGGCUACCUGGCCCAAUACUGACACUCAGGUGCGAAAGCGUGGGGAGCAAACAGG
rnacentral:rRNA from 1 species